UAAUUGGUCAGCUCUUUCCAACUUGCCAGAAGCAACUUAGCCAUCUCGCUGGGCAGCCUGCAACCCCUGGCAAUUUCUGCAGCCCUGGCGUUUCUGCCUGGAGUCCACCGAUUUUCCAUCUUGGGGCGGAGGUUCGUCUCCCUGAUCCAGGGAUCAAACUGAGGUUCAUUUUGGAAUAAACCUUCAAUUGUAUCAGCUCCACAAUUGGUCAGAUGGCAAAAACAGCUGGUCUCUCUGACAGAGAGGGAAAGUCCUACACGAAGUUCAGGAAAGAACGACUCUCCUCCUCAUCGCAAAUGCUCAAGGACUUUGGGAAAUAGGUGGCAUUUUCAACCUGAAGAAGGAUUUGGAUAUGGAGAGCUGAAAGCUGGGGCCAGGAUCCCCAUUGGGCCAUCCUGCUCCCUUCCUUUGUCAUGUCUCUGCAUGGCUGAGUAGUGACUGGAGUGCAGAUGAAAAGCUGUGGCCCUGCUGCCUUGUCACUGGCAAGACCGUCUCUAAUGAGGACUAAUUUUUCCAUCCACAUGCUUCCCUUUGGUGCCGGCUUCAGAGCCAUUGAGUUUUAUGUAGAUCAGAGAUGAAUUUGUGAUUGUGAUCAUGAGGUCCAGACAGGGCCCCCAGACAGCAUCUUUGCUGCUCUGAAGAUGAGAAGAAACCACUGCUUAGUGUUAUUCACAUUUCACCCAGGCCCCCAGAUGCUGAUUUUCUGGAACAUUCUACCAUGGGGCAACGGAGUUGGUGAGACGCCCAUGUCCACCCAGACACAGCUGCGAUCCUGGGUACCCUGCAUAGAAAUCCAUCUUUCCCCCAGUAGAACCAUUGCUGGACACCCAUCAGGGAGUGUUGAGUGGGAGCCAGGUCCUGAGCUUGGGGUCCAGGGCUCAGCCAGGCACUCCCCACCAGAGGUUCUAUCCUAAUGUGGAAAGCAGGCAAAAUGUCAUCACCAAGUCGUCAAAUGAGGUGUUCACACGAUGUGACAGUGACUCCGGAGAAACAGAGGUGUGGGUUAGAAGGCAGCUUCAGGAGAGGAUGAUUUUAGACAGGGUUGUCAUGUAAACCUCAAGGGAGUGAUAUUUGGGCUGAGACACAAGUGACAGAAGGAACUAGCCCAGGGAAGAGCUAGGGGAAGGGUAGUCAAGGGGCAACUGCAUAUCCACCUGGGUUUAGUGGAGAAAACCAGAAACAAGAAGUAACCGGAAGAAGAGGCAAAGAGAAGCCAUCAAUCAAGAGAUGGUGCAUUGGAGGUGAGAGUGCAGACUUUGUUAUCUUCUGGAUCCAACUGUGCCUGAAGCUUGAUCACCUUGGAUUCUGAUUAUAUGAGCCAACUAGGCUCCACACUGCUUUGUUUUUCCUGAGUCAGUUCAAGUAGGGCUUCUUCAGCGGAAAGACUUGAACAGUACAGGAGUCAUUUUCAGCAUUUCAGGUUGGGGCUGGAAUGAUAUCACCCCAGGUUGGGGAGACAAAAAGUGGCUGCAGGGUGGUAGAAAGAGUGGAUCUGGGCAUCAGGCAGACCUGGGAAGUCCUCCUGGCUUUGCUGCGUGCUGCUGUGUGACCUUGGACAAGGAGAUGGGCUCAGAGCUCUGGCCCUCCACGCCCUCCCGAGGCACCCAGUGAGGCGGAGACAGAUGAAAGAGGCGGGAAUGCGGCCGAGCCAGACACUGGAGCUCGGGAGACGCCUCCUAAGUAUCAGCUUUUGGCCUCCUCUCCCUGCCGCGCACACUGAUUAAAAGCUCAGGACAGUCUUCAUUUUUACAGUGGAUUCUUCCUGGCAUACCCCCCUCAUCAGUUGGGGAGCACCUGUGUCCUGGAUCAACUCGGAAGGCAAAAUGUAUCAGGUUGUAUUGGGGCAAGACAGGGUGACCCAUCUGUCUGCGUGGGACCCUCCACCCCCACUUCCACUGGCUGCCCAGACCAGCAAGACGUCCACCAAGUUCAAGUUCCCUCUUAGAAAACUAGAGAGAGCCCAAUCAAGGCUGGUAUGACAUGAUACAAAAUGAUGUGUUUAAUUACUAAUCUCACUCAGCCCAGGGAUUACUUUCUAUAUGUAGAGGGGUUACCAACAGCUCUGUAUGAGAGUUCACUCAUGUGAUCUUCCAAACCAGCCUGGGAAGCAGUUAUUGCUACCAUAGGCUCUCUGGGUUACACAUAAGGAAAGUGAGGCUCAGAGCAGCCCCAACACACACUGAAUGGGGAGCACGAGAAAUGUAGAGCUCCCUGCUGAUAGACAUCGGCUUCAUUUGGUCUGCCCAGAUGUCCCAACUUUUUAUGAUGUGUCAUGAGCCUAAUUUGGCACUGUUGGGGGGUUUUAAGGACCCCUGACAGUCCUCAGAGCCAUCUAGGGGGCUGACACCUUCAGGAAGGCAUGAUUUUGAGGCACCCCCAAGGCAUGGCCUCUUCCAGCCCACAGGUGCUAUGUCUGGGACUCGCCCUCCUAGUUCUGUUCUGCACUUGCUUUCUGGACAACAGGUUGCUAAGGCAAGAGACAGGAUUUUGCUUCUCAGGUGAGGUGCGUGGGGAGUGAAGACUCAGGCAAGGCACCCGAACAGGAUGCAGGACAUCAUUUUUCCACAAAGCAUAUCCGCAUCUGAUUCUAUCUCCAAAGUAGCUCACAAAACGAUUCACUCAUUGCCAUUUCAAAUCCAUUUUACCACCUUCUCUUACAAUUUCCUAACUAGUUUCCCUAAAAUCCAUCCAUUCAUCUAUCCCUCCUUCCAUUUCUCCAUCCAUCCAUCCAUCCAUCCAUCCAUCCAUCCAUCAUCAUACCCUUCCUCCAUCCUUCUGCCCCUCCACCCACCUGUGAUGUAUGUGUUUAGUGCUUGUCAUAUCCCAGGACCACGUAGGUCUUAGUGCAGAUGGGAAACAAAGCAGAUCCUCUGCCUCCAAGCAAACAGCUCGUGCAAAGCAAGAAGCCCCAUGGGGGACCUUGGAAGUGACCUGUCUUGAAAGAUAAGAUCAUCGGGGGACUCAUGUAGAGUGGCUUUUGGGGGCAGUGGGCCUCACUAUGGAGUUGAAGAGAGAGACAUAACUUACUGUCAAUGGAACAGGUGUGAGGAGGAGUAGGGCAGCUACCAAAAUUGACACCAGGGCAACAGUUGCGCACCAGGGCUGGACCUGGAAAAUGGGUGUGGUCAAGUCCUAUGGGCCGGACUCAGGGCCAGCUGAGCUCAGCCUCAGCCUACUGUGCAGCCGGAUGUGGCACUACACCUGGUUAGUACUGUUUUACCUCAAGGUGCAAGUUACAGGGUGGGAUUCUUUUUGUGUUUCUCUAAUGGGUUUGGCUGUUUAGGACACGCAGCCUUGUGUGAGUCUCCUCCCUAGGGAGUCUGGGCCAGCAGCAUCUGGAAUUACCAAGUUGAUUUGCACACAGACAGACCACCUCGGUCUGCGUGGUGUAUCCUCUCUCUGCAGCUGACUGCUCUGUAGCCUUGACACCCAGCACCCCGCACCCAGCACGGGUGGCACUUGGUGAGCGCUCAGUACGUGUGCAGUGCUGGCCUCCCGGGCCCUGCGUGCUGGCCGUGCUUUCUGACACCGCAGAGGAGCUGUGCUCUGAGCGCGUGCUUCGUUUCUCAUCCUGCCCCUCCCGAAUUGGAGCAGCUGCUCCCCUCAGGCCCUUUAAGGUCGCUUCAGUCUUCUCCUCACAGGGCUGGCCCCGCCUCCACCGCCAUCAAUCCUCAAGGCUGUCCGCAGAGGCGGGUGGACGUGGAUCCCCGCAGGUGCUCGCGGGACCUGUGGCCAUGCGCUGAGCUCAAGGUCUCAAUCAGCCUCAACAGACAGGCAGGGGACUCAGGGAGGCCCGGGCCGGUGCCUCAGGGACCUGGCUUAUUAUGGCCAGUGCUGGUUGCCAUUGCUGGAGCAUCUUAGCUUCCUGUCCCUCCGCUAGCUCUGCAGUCCUGGGACAGGGCCCUGUAAUCUCAGCCUCAGGGUGUCCUGUAGAAUGGGAUGGCACGAUGCCCACACACAAACAAGAUUUGCCAGCCCUGUGCUUUGGUGGGAGGUGGCUUGGGUUCCCAGGGGACUCGCAGAGCUGGCUUGGGGACGAGGCCCUCUCUGGGUGACCCAGAGGCUGUGGGUGGGAACACUCUUUUCUCUGCUCCUGUUCCCAGAGGUAUAAGAGACUGCUCAGGUGGUCAGAACUCACUGCCUGUGCCCCAGCAGUGGGGUGGCCCUGGGCCGCCACCACAGUGUAAGCCACAUCCUGUUGAUGCUCAGAGCACAGACGGGACUCACCUUGACAUCGUGGGGAAUCUGAGAAAGGAAGGUGGCACGGUUCCUAGGAUGGGUGACGUUCCUAGGGGCCCGGGCUUAUUCUGAUGAGGCAGAGGGGGCUGGUUAGGGGAUGUUACGGCUGUGUCUGGGUGUCCCCCAAAGCCUCAGGUGGUCAAGGUGGGGCUUUUUCAGAGGUGGCUGGA